rnacentral:snoRNA from 13 species
AAAGGAAGCUGCAGGAAAUUACCAUGUGGACAAAUGACAAAAAUCCUUUUGUCUACAGAUGGCAGCUUUCCUACAUGAAUAUGGGGGUCUCUGUCAGACUUCGGGCAGUUGGCUGAGUCUGAUCGUUCCCCUCCAGACAGC